AUACGUAGGGGGCAAGCGUUAUCCGGAAUUAUUGGGCGUAAAGCGUACGUAGGUGGUUUUUUAAGCGCAGGGUUUAAGGCAAUAGCUCAACUAUUGUUCGCCCCGUGAACUGAAAGACUUGAGUACAGGAGAGGAAAGCGGAAUUCCUAGUGUAGCGGUGAAAUGCGUAGAUAUUAGGAGGAACACCAGUGGCGAAGGCGGCUUUCUGGACUGAAACUGACACUGAGGUACGAAAGCGUGGGGAGCAAACAGGAUUAGAUACCCUGGUAGUCCACGCCGUAAACGAUGAGCACUAGGUGUCGGGGUCGCAAGACUUCGGUGCCGAAGUUAACGCAUUAAGUGCUCCGCCUGGGGAGUACGUUCGCAAGAAUGAA
rnacentral:rRNA from 1 species